rnacentral:rRNA from 1 species
AUUGAACGCUGGCGGCAGGCCUAACACAUGCAAGUCGAGCGAGCGGCGGACGGGUGCGUAAUGUAUGGGGACUGCCCGAUAGACGGGGAUCACUACUGGAAACGGUGGCUAAUACCGCAUAAUGUCGGAUAACCCAUAUGGGAUUAGCCAGUAGGUAAGGUAAGGGCUUACCUAGGCGACGAUCCCUAACUUGUCUGAGAGGAUGACCGGCCACACUGGAACUGAGACACGUCCACGACUCCUACGGAGGCAGCAGUGGGGAAUAUUGCACAAUGGGCGCAAGCCUGAUGCAGCCAUGCCGCGUGUAUGAAGAAGGCCCUAGGUUUGUAAAGCACUUUCAGUCGGGAGGCGUUACCGACAGAAGAAGCACCGGCUAACUCCGUGCCAGCAGCCGCGGUAAUAC